rnacentral:rRNA from 1 species
GAUGAACGCUAGCUACAGGCUUAACACAUGCAAGUCGAGGGACCGGCGCACGGGUGAUUAAUACGUAUCCAACCUGCCCUUUACUGGGGGAUAGUGUAUAGGGAGUCAGAUUCAUACUCGACCUAGAGGAUGGGGAUGCGUUUCAUUAGGUUGUUGGGGGGGUGACGUAUCAACAAGCCUUCGAUUGAUAGGGGUUCUGAGAGGAAGGUCCCUGACAUUGGACCUGAGACACGGUCCAAACUCCUACGGGAGGCAGCAGUGAGGGAUAUUGGUCAAUGGGCGCUAGCCUGAACCAGCGAAGUAGCGUGAAGGGUGAAGGCUUAUGGGUCGUAAACUUCUUUUAUAUAAGAAUAUGUAUUAUAUGAAUAAGGAUCGGCUAACUCCGUGCCAGCAGCCGCGGUAAUAC